CAGCAUGUUUCCAAGGGCUGUGGCUGAUUGUAGCCAUGGGAUCUCCAACUGCAUGAGAGAGCAACCUAGAGAGACUUUGACAGCUCAGGUCAGCAUAAUACCUGCAGCUGCCACUUGUCUUUCCUGUAACC
rnacentral:snoRNA from 1 species